CCUACGGGAGGCAGCAGUGGGGGAAUCUUGCGCAAUGGGCGAAAGCCUGACGCAGCCAUGCCGCGUGAAUGAUGAAGGUCUUAGGAUUGUAAAAUUCUUUCACCGGGGACGAUAAUGACGGUACCCGGAGAAGAAGCCCCGGCUAACUUCGUGCCAGCAGCCGCGGUAAUACGAAGGGGGGCUAGCGUUGCUCGGAAUUACUGGGCGUAAAGGGAGCGUAGGCGGAUAGUUUAGUCAGAGGUGAAAGCCCAGGGCUCAACCUUGGAAUUGCCUUUGAUACUGGCUAUCUUGAGUAUGGGAGAGGUUAGCGGAACUCCGAGUGUAGAGGUGAAAUUCGUAGAUAUUCGGAAGAACACCAGUGGCGAAGGCGGCUAACUGGCCCAUUACUGACGCUGAGGCUCGAAAGCGUGGGGAGCAAACAGGAUUAGAUACCCUGGUAGUCCACGCCGUAAACGAUGAGUGCUAGUUGUCGGCAUGCAUGCAUGUCGGUGACGCAGCUAACGCAUUAAGCACUCCGCCUGGGGAGUACGGUCGCAAGAUUAAAACUCAAAUGAAUUGACCGGNUGAGACGNGCGAGACGACGACGAGGGAGAGG
rnacentral:rRNA from 1 species